rnacentral:snoRNA from 1 species
AGGUCCCUAGAGGCAUUACAGGUGUGGCUAUUGUGUCACAUGUGCGUCAGUAGGUGGCCGAGAGGAGAGAGGCUAUGUCUACCCUCAGUGUUCUGACCUGUGAGCCUCUGAAUGAUGCGUAGCCUAACACU